rnacentral:lncRNA from 1 species
GUAACUCAUGAAUAGUAACUCGUGAAUAGUAUCUCAUGAAUAGUAAACCCGACUCAAAAAGGUAGAAAUUCCACAAUAAAAUCCAUACCAAUAUUUCGGUAUAAUGAUAUUGAAAGAAUAAUAUUUUUUUAAGCUUAUAAACAAUUUAUUUUAAUUGUUUACACUUUACUAAAUAAUGCAUUUAAUCAUUCUAAAAUGCCAAACUCAUAAGAUUUCAU